rnacentral:rRNA from 1 species
AUGAAGACAAUGGGAGAAAUCACUUCACUCUAUUCUGCUCCAAAGCAAAAACAAAUUUGGGGGAUCCAUGUUGCAGUGUGUUGUAAUUUACUGCCAUUUCAGAGACAGGCCAGUGCUGUUACCAGCCCAGCGUUUGCUUUUAUAUUAUUGAAUCGUGACUCAGUCAUAUAUGUUUAUAUUCAUGUUGUGAAAGCCAUCUUGAAAAUAGGCAAGAUUCUAUUGCCAACAAGUUGCUUCCUUAUAUAUUACCGGAAUAUGAAUACAUCAUGUAUAUUUAUAUUCAUGUUGUCAAGCUGUGGUUUAACAAAAGGGAGAAAUUCCCACAAAGUUAUUUCUUUGCACUACUAA